CUACGGGGGGCACCAGUGGGGAAUAUUGGACAAUGGGCGAAAGCCUGAUCCAGCAAUGCCGCGUGAGUGAUGAAGGCCUUAGGGUUGUAAAGCUCUUUUACCCGGGAUGAUAAUGACAGUACCGGGAGAAUAAGCUCCAGCUAACUCCGUGCCAGCAGCCGCGGUAAUACGGAGGGAGCUAGCGUUGUUCGGAAUUACUGGGCGUAAAGCGCACGUAGGCGGCUUUGUAAGUUAGAGGUGAAAGCCUGGAGCUCAACUCCAGAAUUGCCUUUAAGACUGCAUCGCUCGAAUCCAGGAGAGGUCAGUGGAAUUCCGAGUGUAGAGGUGAAAUUCGUAGAUAUUCGGAAGAACACCAGUGGCGAAGGCGGCUGACUGGACUGGUAUUGACGCUGAGGUGCGGAAGCGUGGGGAGCAAACAGGAUUAGAUACCCUUGUAGUC
rnacentral:rRNA from 1 species